AUUGAACGCUGGCGGCAGGCCUAACACAUGCAAGUCGAGCGGAGCGGCGGACGGGGGAGGAAUGCCUAGGAAUCUGCCUGGUAGUGGGGGAGAACGUCCGGAAACGGGCGCUAAUACCGAAUACUAGCAGAUGAGCCUAAGUCGGAUUAGCUAGUGGGUGGAGUAAAGGCAUACCAAGGCGACGAUCCGUAACUGGUCUGAGAGGAUGAUCAGGCACACUGGAACUGAGACACGGCCCAGACUCCUACGGGAGGCAGCAGUGGUGAAUAUUGGACAAUGGGCGCAAGCCUGAUCCAGCCAUGCCGCGUGUGUGAAGAAGGUCUUCGGAUUGUAAAGCACUUUCAGUUGGGAGGCGUUACCCACAGAAUAAGCACCGGCUAACUUCGUGCCAGCAGCCGCGGUAAUAC
rnacentral:rRNA from 1 species